GCUAGCUACAGCAGGCUCUCAUCCGUGACGACCUGAAGCGAAGAGUGGUCGGGUAGGCCUUAGAAUGGUGGGGUAUGGAAGAGGUCCAUCUACUUUGGGAAUAAACUAUGGAAUGGCAGUUUAUGUUUCAGAUGUCUUGGAAGUGAGCUUAAAGCAGAAGGUGACAAUUAUCUCUUCAUUGGGAGUGAAUCAAAACAAACAAAAGCUGCUAAAAUGAAAUGAGUAAUUAUAGCUUUCUUAUCCAUUAAUUAAGCCGUGCAGCCCAUUGCAUUUUUCUGAUGAUGAAGUCACAUUUUGAUGGAGUAGCAUGUCUACAAUAAAUGUUGAACUGUUUCUGUAUGAAAAUAUCUAUUUUCUCAUUCCUGGCAUAGUAUGUCUACAUUAAAAUGUGCACUGUUUCUGUAAGAAAAUAUAUUUUCUUUCCAACCUGGUUGACUGUGCGCAGGGGCUUUGCAUUCCUUCUAUAUGUAUUUAUUGUGGUCAUACAUAUGAUGUUAUGGGAUCUAAUGUUCAUCGCUGUUAACUGAAUUCAUUAAAGUCUCAUCACUUUCUGUUUACUUCAAUUAUAAAUGAGUUCUGAUUUACUUUGACAAGGGAACAGCUCUUCUCAUUUUACAGUGUGCAAAAAUGUUUCACAACUGUCUUAAGACCAUAAGAAUACAUUUAAGGAUUUUUUAUUGCAGUCUGCACCAAGUUAAAGCAUGCUAGAUCCAUAACAAAGGGACCAAAA